CUUGAGAAUUUCUUGCUGUAAAAUCUUACCUGUUUAGUUUAAGGAUUUGGUUUGUAUAAAAAUGCAUAUACUUGCCAUGGGUUAUGCGAGAAAGCCUUGUCCACCAUGAAUAGUGCAAAAGGAGCAAGAGGAUGUGAAAAAAGCAGAGAAGAAAAGAAAUGUGACUUCUUUCUUCAAAUGAAAGACCCUCAUCAUUUCCAGUGCAUCAUUUAAUUGAUCUCUUUAAAGCUGACUUCAAGUGAAACUGGAAGCACAAAGUUCCAGGUUCUUCUGGCAAUAAACCCUAAGAAGGCAACAUCCAACGAUAAAGAUUUGGAAGAGGGAACACACAUAUCAGAGAAGAACAUUUCAAGACUGAAUAUAUUCAGCACACACACACAAAAGAGAUAUAAAUCUUUUAUCUUAUUAAGGGAAAAAAGAAAAUAAAUUAGAG